rnacentral:rRNA from 1 species
CUAGUAUAGCACUUGUACUGUGAAACUGCGAAUGGCUCAUUAAAUCAGUUAUCGUUUAUUUGAUAGUACCUUACUACAUGGAUACCUGUGGUAAUUCUAGAGCUAAUACAUGCUAAAAACCCCGACUUCAGGAAGGGGUGUAUUUAUUAGAUAAAAAACCAACGCCCUUCGGGGCUCCUUGGUGAAUCAUAAUAACUUAACGAAUCGCAUGGCCUUGCGCCGGCGAUGGUUCAUUCAAAUUUCUGCCCUAUCAACUUUCGAUGGUAGGAUAGUGGCCUACCAUGGUGGCAACGGGUAACGGGGAAUUAGGGUUCGAUUCCGGAGAGGGAGCCUGAGAAACGGCUACCACAUCCAAGGAAGGCAGCAGGCGCGCAAAUUACCCAAUCCCGAUACGGGGAGGUAGUGACAAUAAAUACUGAUACGGGGCUCUUUUGGGUCUCGUAAUUGGAAUGAGAACAAUUUAAAUCCCUUAACGAGGAACAAUUGGAGGGCAAGUCUGGUGCCAGCA